UCAUGUUUCAACACCGACCCUGUGCUACCUGGGAGAAUACCCUGUCUGACCGGCCUUGACUGCUGUAAUUGUGAUCAUGGUGUUGUACGAGCGGUGGAUGUGAUCAUGUUUCAAUAUCGAACCUAUCCUCCUACAUAGAGGAAUGCCCUGUCUGCUGAAGAGCGCAAACUAGACUGAACGCCGUGCGUUGAGAAGUCUCUGAAGAUCAGUCUGCAGUAGUCAUUCUGUUAUCAAGCACUCGGUAAGCAAUUGAUCGUGUCCGCUUCAGUUCUUCCUCGCGCACAGAAUGGCCGACGGUGAGCGGUAUGUCGAGCUACAUAUGGGGUGCCCAGCGGUGGGCUGUCCUAACACCAGAAACCCAGACGUGGUUAACAACCGAUGGCGUGGCUCCAAAUGUCGUGGUGUGAUAGAGAUCAGUCAGUUUGGAAAUUUGAGAUGCGAGCACACCAGAGGUUCAUCAAAGUGUGUUCAGGGCAAGAUGUAUUCGUUUCGCUUCGACUGUGGACUUCGCGGACCGGACUCUCCACAUGACAAUGGACUCAGCCGAUUCCGCGAAGCAGAUCGCCAGGGCAUUAGCCACGCGAUAGCUGCAGCAAUGGCAAUGAACUACCUUUCACCCAACGGCCUGGCAUGGGUGACCAGCCUGAUGACAGCCAUAGCACAGCAAUAUCCAGAACUCGAUAAAUGAUUCUUUAAUGAUGUAUAGAAAUAACAUGCUGCAGUUUAAUAACUACACGGUAUAGUUCUGUAACAUAUACUUACUUCCAAGUACAACCCGAAUUCGUACUUUCUCUGCAGAACUGAUUCAAUGAACAGUCAAACGUGUAGUAAUAUUGUGUCUUGACUCUGAAACUAAAAAUACUUUGUUCUACAUGUUGAUCACGA